rnacentral:rRNA from 1 species
UUAAGCGACUAAGCGUACACGGUGGAUGCCCUGGCAGUCAGAGGCGAUGAAGGGCGUGCUAAUCUGCGAUAAGCGCCGGUAAGGUGAUAUGAACCGUUAUAACCGGCGAUACCCGAAUGGGGAAACCCAGUGUGAUUCGUCACACUAUCAUUAACUGAAUCCAUAGGUUAAUGAGGCGAACCGGGGGAACUGAAACAUCUAAGUACCCCGAGGAAAAGAAAUCAACCGAGAUUCCCCCAGUAGCGGCGAGCGAACGGGGAGGAGCCCAGAGCCUGAAUCAGCAUGUGUGUUAGUGGAAGUGUCUGGAAAGGCGCGCGAUACAGGGUGACAGCCCCGUACACAAAAGCGCAUGUGCUGUGAGCUCGAUGAGUAGGGCGGGACACGUGGUAUCCUGUCUGAAUAUGGGGGGACCAUCCUCCAAGGCUAAAUACUCCUGACUGACCGAUAGUGAACCAGUACCGUGAGGGAAAGGCGAAAAGAACCCCGGCGAGGGGAGUGAAAAAGAACCUGAAACCGUGUACGUACAAGCAGUGGGAGCACAGGUUUACCUGUGUGACUGCGUACCUUUUGUAUAAUGGGUCAGCGACUUAUAUUCUGUAGCAAGGUUAACCGAAUAGGGGAGCCGGAGGGAAACCGAGUCUUAAUUGGGCGUUAAGUUGCAGGGUAUAGACCCGAAACCCGGUGAUCUAGCCAUGGGCAGGUUGAAGGUUGGGUAACACUAACUGGAGGACCGAACCGACUAAUGUUGAAAAAUUAGCGGAUGACCUGUGGCUGGGGGUGAAAGGCCAAUCAAACCGGGAGAUAGCUGGUUCUCCCCGAAAGCUAUUUAGGUAGCGCCUCGUGAACUCAUCUCCGGGGGUAGAGCACUGUUUCGGCUAGGGGGCCAUCCCGGCUUACCAACCCGAUGCAAACUGCGAAUACCGGAGAAUGUUAUCACGGGAGACACACGGCGGGUGCUAACGUCCGUCGUGAAGAGGGAAACAACCCAGACCGCCAGCUAAGGUCCCAAAGUCAUGGUUAAGUGGGAAACGAUGUGGGAAGGCCCAGACAGCCAGGAUGUUGGCUUAGAAGCAGCCAUCAUUUAAAGAAAGCGUAAUAGCUCACUGGUCGAGUCGGCCUGCGCGGAAGAUGUAACGGGGCUAAACCAUGCACCGAAGCUGCGGCAGCGACGCUUAUGCGUUGUUGGGUAGGGGAGCGUUCUGUAAGCCUGUGAAGGUGGCCUGUGAGGGUUGCUGGAGGUAUCAGAAGUGCGAAUGCUGACAUAAGUAACGAUAAAGCGGGUGAAAAGCCCGCUCGCCGGAAGACCAAGGGUUCCUGUCCAACGUUAAUCGGGGCAGGGUGAGUCGACCCCUAAGGCGAGGCCGAAAGGCGUAGUCGAUGGGAAACGGGUUAAUAUUCCCGUACUUGGUGUUACUGCGAAGGGGGGACGGAGAAGGCUAUGUUGGCCGGGCGACGGUUGUCCCGGUUUAAGCGUGUAGGUGUGUGUUCCAGGUAAAUCCGGUUCACUUUAACACUGAGGCGUGAUGACGAGGCACUACGGUGCUGAAGCAACAAAUGCCCUGCUUCCAGGAAAAGCCUCUAAGCAUCAGGUAACAUCAAAUCGUACCCCAAACCGACACAGGUGGUCAGGUAGAGAAUACCAAGGCGCUUGAGAGAACUCGGGUGAAGGAACUAGGCAAAAUGGUGCCGUAACUUCGGGAGAAGGCACGCUGACAUGUAGGUGAAGUGAUUUACUCAUGGAGCUGAAGUCAGUCGAAGAUACCAGCUGGCUGCAACUGUUUAUUAAAAACACAGCACUGUGCAAACACGAAAGUGGACGUAUACGGUGUGACGCCUGCCCGGUGCCGGAAGGUUAAUUGAUGGGGUCAGCGCAAGCGAAGCUCCUGAUCGAAGCCCCGGUAAACGGCGGCCGUAACUAUAACGGUCCUAAGGUAGCGAAAUUCCUUGUCGGGUAAGUUCCGACCUGCACGAAUGGCGUAAUGAUGGCCAGGCUGUCUCCACCCGAGACUCAGUGAAAUUGAACUCGCUGUGAAGAUGCAGUGUACCCGCGGCAAGACGGAAAGACCCCGUGAACCUUUACUAUAGCUUGACACUGAACAUUGAGCCUUGAUGUGUAGGAUAGGUGGGAGGCUUUGAAGUGUGGACGCCAGUCUGCAUGGAGCCGACCUUGAAAUACCACCCUUUAAUGUUUGAUGUUCUAACGUGGACCCGUGAUCCGGGUUGCGGACAGUGUCUGGUGGGUAGUUUGACUGGGGCGGUCUCCUCCUAAAGAGUAACGGAGGAGCACGAAGGUUGGCUAAUCCUGGUCGGACAUCAGGAGGUUAGUGCAAUGGCAUAAGCCAGCUUGACUGCGAGCGUGACGGCGCGAGCAGGUGCGAAAGCAGGUCAUAGUGAUCCGGUGGUUCUGAAUGGAAGGGCCAUCGCUCAACGGAUAAAAGGUACUCCGGGGAUAACAGGCUGAUACCGCCCAAGAGUUCAUAUCGACGGCGGUGUUUGGCACCUCGAUGUCGGCUCAUCACAUCCUGGGGCUGAAGUAGGUCCCAAGGGUAUGGCUGUUCGCCAUUUAAAGUGGUACGCGAGCUGGGUUUAGAACGUCGUGAGACAGUUCGGUCCCUAUCUGCCGUGGGCGCUGGAGAACUGAGGGGGGCUGCUCCUAGUACGAGAGGACCGGAGUGGACGCAUCACUGGUGUUCGGGUUGUCAUGCCAAUGGCACUGCCCGGUAGCUAAAUGCGGAAGAGAUAAGUGCUGAAAGCAUCUAAGCACGAAACUUGCCCCGAGAUGAGUUCUCCCUGAGACUUAGAGUCUCCUGAAGGAACGUUGAAGACGACGACGUUGAUAGGCCGGGUGUGUAAGCGCAGCGAUGCGUUGAGCUAACCGGUACUAAUGAACCGUGAGGCUUAACCUU